rnacentral:rRNA from 1 species
GAUGAACGCUGGCGGCGUGCCUAAUACAUGCAAGUCGAGCGAACAGACGAGGAGCUUGCUCCUCUGACGUUAGCGGCGGACGGGUGAGUAACACGUGGAUAGCCUACCUAUAAGACUGGGAUAACUUCGGGAAACCGGAGCUAAUACCGGAUAAUAUAUUGAACCGCAUGGUUCAAUAGUGAAAGACGGUUUUGCUGUCACUUAUAGAUGGAUCCGCGCCGCAUUAGCUAGUUGGUAAGGUAACGGCUUACCAAGGCAACGAUGCGUAGCCGACCUGAGAGGGUGAUCGGCCACACUGGAACUGAGACACGGUCCAGACUCCUACGGGAGGCAGCAGUAGGGAAUCUUCCGCAAUGGGCGAAAGCCUGACGGAGCAACGCCGCGUGAGUGAUGAAGGUCUUCGGAUCGUAAAACUCGGUUAUUAGGGAAGAACAAAUGUGUAAGUAACUAUGCACGUCUUGACGGUACCUAAUCAGAAAGCCACGGCUAACUACGUG